rnacentral:rRNA from 1 species
UACGUAGGGUGCAGGCGUUAAUCGGAAUUACUGGGCGUAAAGCGUGCGCAGGCGGUUUCUUAAGUCAGAUGUGAAAUCCCCGGGCUUAACCUGGGAAUGGCAUUUGGGACUGCAAGGCUGGAGUGCGGCAGAGGAGACUGGAAUUCCCGGUGUAGCAGUGAAAUGCGUAGAUAUCGGGAGGAAUACCGAUGGCGAAGGCAGGUCUCUGGGCUGACACUGACGCUCAUGCACGAAAGCGUGGGGAGCAAACAGG